rnacentral:rRNA from 1 species
AGGACGAACGCUGGCGGCGUGCUUAACACAUGCAAGUCGAGCGGUAAGGCCCUUCGGGGUACACGAGCGGCGAACGGGUGAGUAACACGUGGGUGAUCUGCCCUGCACUCUGGGAUAAGCCUGGGAAACUGGGUCUAAUACUGGAUAUGACCUGUCCUCGCAUGGGGGUGGGUGGAAAGAUUUAUCGGUGCAGGGAUGGGGCCCGCGGCCUAUCAGCUUGUUGGUGGGGUAAUGGCCCACCAAGGCGACGACGGGUAGCCGACCUGAGAGGGUGACCGGCCACGACUGGGACUGAGACACGGCCCAGACUCCUACGGGAGGCAGCAGUGGGAAUAUGCACAAUGGGCAAAGCCUGAUGCAGCGACGCCGCGUGAGGAUGAAGGCCUUCGGGUAGUAAACCUCUUUCAGCGAGGACGAAGCGAGAGUGACGGUACUGCAGAAGAAGCACCGGCUAACGACGUGCCGAGCAGCCGAC